rnacentral:rRNA from 1 species
GACGUAGGGCGCGAGCGUUGUCCGGAUUUAUUGGGCGUAAAGAGCUCGUAGGCGGUUUGUCGCGUCGGGAGUGAAAACCUUGGGCUUAACUCAGGGCUUGCUUUCGAUACGGGCAGACUAGAGGUAUGCAGGGGGAGAACGGAAUUCCUGGUGUAGCGGUGAAAUGCGCAGAUAUCAGGAGGAACACCGGUGGCGAAGGCGGUUCUCUGGGCAUGAUCUGACGCUGAGGAGCGAAAGUGUGGGGAGCGAACAGG